GACGAACGCUGGCGGCGUGCUUAACACAUGCAAGUCGAACGGUAAGGCCCUUCGGGGUACACGAGUGGCGAACGGGUGAGUAACACGUGGGUGAUCUGCCCUGCACUUCGGGAUAAGCCUGGGAAACUGGGUCUAAUACCGGAUAGGACCACUGCCUGCAUGGGUGGUGGUGGAAAGCUUUUGCGGUGUGGGAUGGGCCCGCGGCCUAUCAGCUUGUUGGUGGGGUGAUGGCCUACCAAGGCGACGACGGGUAGCCGGCCUGAGAGGGUGACCGGCCACACUGGGACUGGGAUACGGCCCAGACUCCUACGGGAGGCAGCAGGGGGGAAUAUUGCACAAUGGGCGCAAGCCUGAUGCAGCGACGCCGCGUGAGGGAUGACGGCCUUCGGGUUGUAAACCUCUUUCAGCACCGACGAAGCGCAAGUGACGGUAGGUGCAGAAGAAGGACCGGCCAACUACGUGCCAGCCGCCGCGGUAA
rnacentral:rRNA from 1 species